CCGCUGCGCGGGGCGGGCUCCGCACACCCGGGGCGGGGCACCAGCCCGAGCAGGGGCCCUGACGCGCGGGAUCGGGCCCGGCCACGGUCCGCCCGGCUCCCACAGGAUCUGGGCCGCGCGACCCCUACUCCCCCCCCCACCGGGGGCAAGGCCUGAGGUGGGCCUAGGACCCCCCCGCCGCCACAGGGAGGGGCCUGAGGACGGCGCGGGGCGCGGCCCUCACCUGCCGGAGCAGCGCCUGCUGCUCCCCGCCGCCUGACCUCAUAGUCCCCGCGGCGUGACUCCCGCCGCCGCCGCCAUUCAAAGCCGCCCGCGUCCAGGCCCCGCUUCCGCCUCCGGGGCUGUUCCGCGCGCUGCCUGUUGGUGCCACCCAUCAGGCGCUCCUAAGGCCACCCCCCCCGCAGGGACCCCGAACCGGAAGUGACGACGGCAAGGGAGCUGAAACGAUAGCGUCUGAAGCGGGCAACUACGGCUCCUGCGCAGUACGGGCACUACGCGUCCCGGGUCUCCCGGCGUGCCUCGCGCCCAGCGUCCCCGGGCCGGGAAACCAGCUCCAGUCCCGUGCUGCAGAGCUUCUUGUACCCACUGAAGGAGACACAAGGGGCUACGUUACGAAAAGAGUAAUGGGAUGACCCUGAGCAACCAGAGCUGUUUGAAGGCACUGCACUUCUGUGGUAAAAAGUGUGAAGACAGAAGGAAGCUGAAAGAGGAACCACUAGGGCCGGCUGUUUAAAAAACCCGCACAUAUACAACACUAACACUUCAGUAAAAGUGAAAUCUCACCUUCACAGAGCACAGAAACUGACUUAUGAUCUCCCCUAAUGAGAUCUCAACCAAUAAUUGUCACAAACUGUAGGAUAAUGGCUGCAACAUGCCAAUUAUAGUUAACUUAUUUAAGCCUCAAGGUAAUACCUCUCUCUUGUAGGCAAGGUGGGUUUGACUCUUACGUGUUUCAAAUGGACAUUAAACUUGAUAAUAUGAACAAACA